ensembl:lncRNA
CUGUGAUUGGACACCUGCCUCCUCAGCUCUGCGGCAUUUCCCAGACAGCUUAGAGUUGGUGUGGCUGGGUCAUUAAGCAACAUUCAGUUGAUGUCAGUGGAUGUGGUGCGGACAAGGGGCAUGUCUCUUCCACAGCCUGUCUCCUCUUGAGCACAAUGAACUGACAUAAAUCCUGUCCGUGUGCUAACACUCUGACCCCAGUAAGAAGAUGGAUGAGAACAGUGAUUUCAAACAGCGCGGGAAGCCCCGAGCAGGGAUUGUGAAAUUUACCCAUAGCUACAUAUAGUAGUUCAUUUCCACUGCAGUAUAAUAUCUGGAGCGGUGGCUGUGCAGGCGCCGGAGGGCCGAGAGGAGCUAUUCCAUGUCAAGGUUGGGAGGGGCGGUGGUGAGGAGAUAC